ACGGAGGGUGCAAGCGUUAUCCGGAUUUAUUGGGUUUAAAGGGUCCGUAGGCGGGCCGAUAAGUCAGUGGUGAAAUCUCAUAGCUUAACUAUGAAACUGCCAUUGAUACUGUCGGUCUUGAGUAAAUUAGAGGUAGCUGGAAUAAGUAGUGUAGCGGUGAAAUGCAUAGAUAUUACUUAGAACACCAAUUGCGAAGGCAGGUUACCAUGAUUUAACUGACGCUGAGGGACGAAAGCGUGGGGAGCGAACAG
rnacentral:rRNA from 1 species